rnacentral:tRNA from 1 species
CCGAAUGUGGCGCAGUUUGGUAGCGCACCUGGUUUGGGACCAGGGGGUCGCAGGUUCAAAUCCUGCCAUUCGGACCA